AUUGAACGCUGGCGGCAUGCCUUACACAUGCAAGUCGAACGGCAGCAUGAUCUAGCUUGCUAGAUUGAUGGCGAGUGGCGAACGGGUGAGUAAUACAUCGGAACGUGCCCUGUAGUGGGGGAUAACUAGUCGAAAGAUUAGCUAAUACCGCAUACGACCUGAGGGUGAAAGUGGGGGACCGCAAGGCCUCAUGCUAUAGGAGCGGCCGAUGUCUGAUUAGCUAGUGGGGGAGGUAAAGGCGCACCAAGGCGACGAUCAGUAGCUGGUCUGAGAGGACGAUCAGCCACACUGGGACUGAGACACGGCCCAGACUCCUACGGGAGGCAGCAGUGGGGAAUUUUGGACAAUGGGCGAAAGCCUGAUCCAGCAAUGCCGCGUGUGUGAAGAAGGCCUUCGGGUUGUAAAGCACUUUUGUCCGGAAAGAAAUGCAUCUGGUUAAUACCUGGGGUCGAUGACGGUACCGGAAGAAUAAGGACCGGCUAACUACGUG
rnacentral:rRNA from 1 species